AGAGAGACAGCAGGGUUAGUAACAUCUUCUGCCUCCUGAUAUUAUCCAUGAAUAAUAUUCUUAAUUUCCAAAAUACCCUGUGACAGAAAGAAGUCGCUUUAAAAAAAAAAUCUACCAGAAAUUGGGCAGACCCAAAUUUCACUCCUUCUUUCUUCUGUGUCCUUUCACCACUAUCACCCCGGACAAAAGUUCACAGCUGACUAGCAAUGUCUGUAAAUUGCAGAUCCUUAACUGCUAGUUUUAGCCUCUGUUGAGCUCCCAAAUGGGAUGGUGUUGCUUGAUGGGGUCAUCUAUUUACUUAAAACAGGACUGGGAUCAAAAGUUCAUUUUCAUUGACCAUUAAAGGGCAAUGAUAUAUUAACAACUUCAGCCACUGCUGGGCUGGAUGUGACUCGUAGGUGACUGACACCAUAUGCCAGCCACCCUAUUUCUUACAAGAUUUAUUUCAAGCCCCUUCCCUACACCUCUAAAGGAAUAUGGAAACAGCCAUCUUCUGUAUCAAUCUAGAAGGUGUACCUGUAGGCAAUCUUAGACACAUUAUCUUCCCCUUAGAGGUCACUGGUGAUUUAUUACAGCAUAUUUACUUCCCACCAGCCACUUGGAUUUGCUUCAAUGAAUCAGUAACACUCAAUUUCUGACUAACAAAGUCUUACUCAUAUUCCAAAUUGCUGGCCACAAGAAAAACAUUGUUAGCCUCUCAGGUAGGCUUACUGCUUAUGGAGAAUUAAAUACUAAAGCCAGCAUUUGUGAGGUAGACAGAGCAGGAAUGAGAGGAAAAAAAAUGGGAAAAAAUGAAAAUGUAUGCUAUUUCCAGGUCUUCAGACAGCAGAACUGAAAACGUGAGCAACAGCAAUUCACAUUGCUACCAAAAGACAACCCCCUGGAAAGUGGAAGAAAUGCACCAGUGAAUGAUUUUUGGUGUAAAAGCCUGAGUUAAGUUAUAAUUUAGUCUUUCAAAUUAUUUGACUGUUCAAUACAGACUUAAAGCAAAUUUGUACAGAAGUGCAAAGUCUUAACCAAAUAAGCACACUUGAAGCACACAGCUGACACACAUCUGCUGAAAGCUCAGUGUCUACCUAUGAAAAAUGCAAUGUGAUUUUUUUUUUCAUGGCAUAUUGAAACAUUCAAGAAAGUGAGGGCCCAAGCCCUCUCUCCACACAACCAACAAGUGCCCACCCCGCUCCAAGAAGACAUGCUUGAGCCCUGUCUGCUCCGUUCUUCCCAGGCAGAGCAGCUCCUGCCCUCUCCAAAGCCAGGCCCUUUGGUCACAGAUGGCACACUGUAAGGCCUUUUCUCAAGGUGUGGCAUGUUGUGACUACCCCAUCCAACCCAUUAUGAAAUGCCAAGGACUUGUGUAGACUGGUACCAGAUCCCUCCUCAGCUGGGAAAAAACAACAAAAAAAAACCUGUCAGAAAUCUGGGAGGGAAGAAGUGCCUGGGCAGCACCAGCACGGCUUAAGGGACUUCUGCCACGGUCUGUAGAUCACACAAGUGUACGGUGGCACCCAUUAACUGCUUUCAGCAUAACAAUGGCUCUUUCUCAUCUCUGCCCAUCCUCUCUGUCCCAGUUAAAUGAGCUGUUUCCCAGACAAAUAAAAGACUGGAGAGACUGCCUUCAGCAGGGGUAGAAGGCUGGGGAUUCGGAUGGGAGCCUCCGGGCACAGCUGGGAGCCAGGGAUACCCAUGGGCAACAAGGGGACAGGAGAGCCUGCUACAAGGAAUAGAGAUGCAGGGAGCAUGAGACAGCGUGAAACUACAUUCACUCUCUGCCCAGGGGUCUGUGGGAGCAGGGGGAAACCACUGGCAGCACAGUGCAUAGCCACCCUGGGGACAAGAGGACAGCAAAGGAGGGCCGGAAGCUGACAUGAGGUGGGCCUCACACCAUCCCAGAACCACUUCAGGAGCCACAAAGUCUGCAAGUGCCAGGUUUCUGCCGUCCUCACUUGCAGUUUCCUCAGUUUAGCUGUCAAAAACACUGAGCAGGCAAGAGGGCAGCCACAGUGCAUCUGAGCUGGAAGCUUCUUCUGAAAUCUUGGUGCCUUCUCCAGCCUUUGGGGAAAACAAGUCUCCCUCUCAGCCAGAGGGCUCA
ensembl:lncRNA